rnacentral:tRNA from 1 species
UCCCUGAUAGCUCAGUCGGUAGAGCGCCGGACUGUUAAUCCGUAGGUCCCUGGUUCGAGCCCAGGUCGGGGAGCCA